UAUUCAUUCUAAGAUCUAAAGACAUCCAAAGCUCUGAACUACUUGUACCGCCCACCACGAAAAUUGAUUGUUGAGCAUUUCAGCCACUCAACAAUAAAAUACGGAUGUAAUGUGGUCUGUGUUGGCACGUUAUUUGAUUAUUAACACAAAAUAAGAAAUAUGCCGAGGAGACACACACCUCAUCGUUAAGCCCCGUCUCGCUGAAAGGCUCAGAAGUGAAUCUCAUGCUACCGUGAAUGUGGAAAUUUCUUAUUUAAAACAAAGAUGCGUCAGAAAAAAAAGAAAGAAAAAAGGCUACUGUGAAUUAUUAGUGUAUGUCAUGUUUGAUUGUAAUGUUUCUUUCUUUUUUCUGAACUGUCAUGUCAACCAAAGUACGAGAGAAUCUCACACAAAAUCAUAACAUGUCGUUCUGGUUGAAAAGACACACUGUUGUCUCAAUAUUCUUUUUUUUUAUAUUUCAAGUAUAUGUUAGCAUGCAAGAAAAAAAAAUAACCCAAAAUUCAAGAUAACAUAUUUUAAAAACAAACUAAUUCGUUUCAUUGAAAGACGUUCAUCGACAAACACUGCGUUUUAGUUCACCGCUGGUAUUUUCAUUUACUUAUAUAUUUGAUAUUUCCUUGACGUAAAUGUAGUGACUUUACAAGUGAUAUAAAGAAUGCUUUCGAUCUCGCACAUGGCAGUUUGUGAUUUUGUUGUAUAAUGUGUAUUUUAAUACAUGUUGUUACUUAUAAAUGUAAUUACAUUUUACUCACUUUCUUUUAU